UGAUGUGCUUUGCUGCAUGUCUUCUGGGA
rnacentral:piRNA from 1 species